CAUAGAGUAAUCAGGCAUGACACCCUUCUGGUCCCAGUCUCCAAAUUGUGGCACAGAUAGCCAUGGUGUAUUUUUCUGCAAACAACAAAAUUAUACACUAUAACAGUUUCAGUUUCCGUUGUCCAAAGUUUCUACUGUAGAACUUCAGAAACAAUUAAUAUUGCGAACAAUUAUGUAACCACUAUCACUGUUUAGACCUCGUCAAAGUUAUGGAAGUUGAUUAUCUUGAUUAUUUAUACAAGAGGAAGCAUCCUCGAACUUGAGCGCACAAAUAUUAUAAAGGUGGAAGAAAAGUAUGAGUAUGCAAAAUUGACAGUUCAGAUUUUGAAAAUUACAGCACAAACCUAACACCUAGCUCCAAUGAGCUCAUCAUCAUGAAAAACAACACCUUCAAGAUACACACAGCAAUAGAAAUACAACAAGAAUCUUUGAAAAUCAGAUAAGAUUAAAGGCGAGAACUUUGACCAGUUCUCACUUCAAGAAUUGUGCUUUUUGAGUUGUCAACUACUGCAUGGUCAAGAAAACUACAAUUGGUGACUAAAUGGAUCCAAGUAUGACUGCCCAUUACCAAGAAGGAAAAUUGAGGGAAUUAAACAGGGGAAAAAAGGAAAAAGAAGCUCCACAUUCCUAUUGCCUUAAAGUUUCACUGAUUCUUCUUUCUCAUCCCCUGAUGGAUGAAUAAAAAAUACAUCCCAACAACUUCUUAUCAUGCAUUUGGGCGGAAUUGCCAUAAUCAAAUCGGCAGAA
rnacentral:lncRNA from 1 species